rnacentral:misc_RNA from 1 species
ACACCUCAACUCCUCAUGGUUUGCCAUGAUGAGCUUGGACCUUGGGGGUAUUGCUGGCCCUGUGGUUGGCUCCUCUCAAAUGGAUCAGCUUGCCAGUGUUUGGUGGCAUCACAGGUGUGAUAAAUAUCUACGCUUGUGGUUUCCACCAUGCAACCUUCAGUGAUGAAGGUGCGCUGGAGCUCACAAAUGUCCCUCCCCAGUGAGGACAGCUUCUGAAC